rnacentral:rRNA from 1 species
UUGAGCGUAAAAAGAGCGUCUUACAGAACGGGUUCGACGGUGAGGGACGAAAGCUGGGGGCACGAACCGGAUUAGAUACCCGGGUAGUCCCAGCCGUAAACGAUGCUCGCUAGGUGUCAGGCAUGGCGCGACCGUGUCUGGUGCCGCAGGGAAGCCGUGAAGCGAGCCACCUGGGAAGUACGGCCGCAAGGCUGAAACUUAAAGGAAUUGGCGGGGGAGCACAACAACGGGUGGAGCCUGCGGUUUAAUUGGACUCAACGCCGGACAACUCACCGGGGACGACAGCAAAAUGUAGGCCAGGCUGAAGACCUUGCCUGAAUCGCUGAGAGGAGGUGCAUGGCCGUCGCCAGUUCGUACUGUGAAGCUCCUGUUAAGUCAGGCAAUAGAGAGACCAAAA